rnacentral:tRNA from 1 species
GGAGAGAUGCCGGAGUGGUCGAUCGGGUCGGUUUCGAAAACCGAUAGGCUCGCAAGGGUCUCCAGGGUUCGAAUCCCUGUCUCUCCGCCA